rnacentral:rRNA from 1 species
UACGUAGGUGGCGAGCGUUGUCCGGAAUUACUGGGUGUAAAGCGCGUGUAGGCGGCAGGCCAAGUCGGUGGUGAAAGCGCCCGGCUCAACUGGGCGAGGUCCAUGGAAACUGGUCAGCUGGAGGACGGUAGAGGCGAGUGGAAUUCCCGGUGUAGUGGUGAAAUGCGUAGAGAUCGGGAGGAACACCUGUGGCGAAGGCGGCUCGCUGGGCCGGUCCUGACGCUGAGACGCGAAAGCGUGGGGAGCGAACAGG